UGGGAAGGCACCACUCGGAAAAACUGAGUUUAUUUGAGUACUUAGACGGCCAUUAGAGCAACGAUCUAGCACCAUAUAAAUUCAGUAUUUUCGUGGAUGAGAGCCUAUUCU
rnacentral:pre_miRNA from 13 species